UACUACCUACACCACAAGCUGAACUGUAGAAUAAUGUAGGGUCAUUUUCGAACAGGAAAGACAGAGGAACGUAGCAAUCUCCUGAGAAAUUCCGCUCGAAGCUCUUCAUUGAACCAGAAUAGCUCCCGUCAGGAAAGUGAAGCCUGGUAGUGGAUGUGAUGAAGCACUGUUACAUCAAAGAGAAACGAAAAUAGAUUUUAUGAUAACAGGCAAUGAAGGACUCGGUGAAAAAUAAAAGUGCUAUUGACGGAGUAAAUGCAGAAAACGGCCGUCGUGGUAUUAGACAAAGGCAAAGAGCUUCACAAAGUGCUUCGAAACUCGUCCAGAACCAGAGGCAGUGAACACAGACUCGAUGAACCCUUGUCGGCCAUGCAGAGGCAAACGACCGAGCUCAUUGUGACCCUCGUGUUUGUGCCUCUCUGUGUGCUGGCCUGGCAUUCUGUGUGGACGUGGCGGUGUUGUCUACACCGGUGGUGGUGAUGGUGAUAGCGAUGGUGAAUGUGCGGGACUGUGGUGGUGGUGAUGAUGGUAUUUGCGGAUGCAGCAUCUAGAAGUCGUGGUGGUGAUGGUGGUUGUUAUGGUGGUAAGUGAAUUUUAGAAAGUUUUAAUUGUUAUUUCUUUUACGUAUACUUUUCCCAGUGAUUGUUAUUCAAAGUGAGUGCAAA